GAGUGUAGCUCAGUUGGUUAGAGCGCAGGAUUGUGGCUCCUGAGGUCGUCAGUUCAAAUCUGAUUAC
rnacentral:tRNA from 1 species